rnacentral:rRNA from 1 species
AUCUACAGCCAUACCAUCCUGAACACGCCCAAUCUCGUCUGAUCUCAGAAGCUAAGCAGGGUCAGGCCUGGUUAGUACUUGGAUGGGAGAAGCUCCUCUCUCAACACCUACCCAUCAGGUGGCUGUGAGCA